UACGUAGGGGGCAAGCGUUGUCCGGAUUUAUUGGGCGUAAAGAGCGUGUAGGCGGUUUGGUAGGUCCGCUGUGAAAACUCGAGGCUCAACCUCGAGACGCCGGUGGAAACCAUCAGGCUAGAGUCCGGAAGAGGAGAGUGGAAUUCCUGGUGUAGCGGUGAAAUGCGCAGAUAUCAGGAAGAACACCCGUGGCGAAGGCGGCUCUCUGGGACGGUACUGACGCUGAGACGCGAAAGCGUGGGGAGCAAACGGG
rnacentral:rRNA from 1 species